rnacentral:rRNA from 1 species
AGCGAACGCUGGCGGCAGGCUUAAACACAUGCAAGUCGAACGGGCAUAGCAAUAUGUCAGUGGCAGACGGGUGAGUAACGCGUGGGAACAUACCUCUUGGUUCGGAACAACACAGGGAAACUUGUGCCAAUACCGGAUAAGCCCUUACGGGGAAAGAUUUAUUGCCGAGAGAUUGGCCCGCGUCUGAUUAGCUAGUUGGUGAGGUAAGAGCUCACCAAGGCGACGAUCAGUAGCUGGUCUGAGAGGAUGAUCAGCCACAUUGGGACUGAGACACGGCCCAAACUCCUACGGGAGGCAGCAGGUGGGGAAUAUUGGACAAUGGGCGCAAGCCUGAUCCAGCCAUGCCGCGUGAGUGAUGAAGGCCCUAGGGUU